GACGAACGCUGGCGGCGUGCUUAACACAUGCAAGUCGAACGAAGAGCGAUGGAAGCUUGCUUCUCUCAAUCUUAGUGGCGAACGGGUGAGUAACGCGUAAUCAACCUGCCCUUCAGAGGGGGACAACAGUUGGAAACGACUGCUAAUACCGCAUACGAUCUAAUCUCGGCAUCGAGGAUAGAUGAAAGGUGGCCUCUACAUGUAAGCUAUCACUGAAGGAGGGGAUUGCGUCUGAUUAGCUAGUUGGAGGGGUAACGGCCCACCAAGGCGAUGAUCAGUAGCCGGUCUGAGAGGAUGAACGGUCACAUUGGGACUGAGACACGGCCCAGACUCCUACGGGAGGCAGCAGUGGGGAAUCUUCCGCAAUGGACGAAAGUCUGACGGAGCAACGCCGCGUGAGUGAUGACGGCCUUCGGGUUGUAAAGCUCUGUUAAUCGGGACGAAAGGCCUUCUUGCGAAUAGUGAGAAGGAUUGACGGUACCGGAAUAGAAAGCCACGGCUAACUACGUG
rnacentral:rRNA from 1 species